AACGAACGCUGGCGGCAUGCCUAACACAUGCAAGUCGAACGAGACCUUCGGGUCUAGCGGCGCACGGGUGCGUAACGCGUGGGAACCUGCCCUUAGGUUCGGAAUAACUCCCCGAAAGGGGGGCUAAUACCGGAUAAUGUCUUCGGACCAAAGAUUUAUCGCCUUUGGAUGGGCCCGCGUUGGAUUAGCUAGUUGGUAGGGUAAAAGCCUACCAAGGCGACGAUCCAUAGCUGGUCUGAGAGGAUGAUCAGCCACACUGGGACUGAGACACGGCCCAGACUCCUACGGGAGGCAGCAGUGGGGAAUAUUAGACAAUGGGGGAAAGCCUGAUCCAGCCAUGCCGCGUGAGUGAUGAAGGCCUUAGGGUUGUAAAGCUCUUUUACCCGGGAUGAUAAUGACAGUACCGGGAGAAGAAGCUCCGGCUAACUCCGUG
rnacentral:rRNA from 1 species